rnacentral:tRNA from 1 species
GGGUGAUUAGCUAAGCUGGGAGAGCACCUCCCUUACAAGGAGGGGGUCGGCGGUUCGAUCCCGUCAUCACCCACCA